GAAGCGGCAACAGCUCAAAUUUGAAAUCUGACCCUUUGGGGUCCGAGUUGUAAUUUGCAGAGGGUGUUUCGGGCACGGUGCCGGUUUAAGUCCUUUGGAACAGGGUGUCAUAGAGGGUGAGAACCCCGUAUGUGACCGGUCGCCAAACCCAUGUGAAACCCCUUCGACGAGUCGAGUUGUUUGGGAAUGCAGCUCAAAAUGGGUGGUAAAUUUCAUCUAAAGCUAAAUAUUGGCCAGAGACCGAUAGCGCACAAGUAGAGUGAUCGAAAGAUGAAAAGCACUUUGGAAAGAGAGUCAAACAGCACGUGAAAUUGUUGAAAGGGAAGCGCUUGCGACCAGACUUGCUCGCGGGUGAUCAGCGGUGCUUUUCGCGCCGUGCACUCAUCCGCGAUCAGGCCAGCAUCGGUUCAGGCGGCCGGACAAAGACUCGGAGAAUGUAGCUCCCUCCGGGGAGUGUUAUAUCUCCUUGUGCAAUACGACCAGCCGGGACCGAGGACCGCGCUUCGGCUAGGAUGCUGGCGUAAUGGUCGUAAGCGACCCGUCUUGAAACACGGACCAAGGAGUCUAACAUCUGUGCGAGUGUUUGGGCGUUAAACCCAUGCGCGCAAUGAAAGUGAACGUGAGGUGGGAACCCUUUCGGGGGCGCACCAUCGACCGAUCCAGAUGUCUUCGGAUGGAUUUGAGUAAGAGCACAGCUGUUGGGACCCGAAAGAUGGUGAACUAUGCCUGAAUAGGGUGAAGCCAGAGGAAACUCUGGUGGAGGCUCGCAGCGGUUCUGACGUGCAAAUCGAUCGUCAAAUUUGGGUAUAGGGGCGAAAGACUAAUCGA
rnacentral:rRNA from 1 species